ensembl:lncRNA
CCAACAUUUGCAGAGGUAACGGGGAAGGAAAGGCUGGAGCAGAGAAAAGAAGCCUCCCUCUGGCUCCAGACUGGAGCCUCACCAGUUUGAGGGACCGACUCCACAUUAACCCCUUCACCUCCGUGAUGCCGCUCUGCCUUUUCCAACUCCCGUGCCUCCUCCUGUCCCCACUGCAGCCACCACCGAUAGGGUUGAGUGUGGGGCCACGUCUGCAGCCCAUUGGAUGUGGGGACACCCCCAGGCUUCCUGCCAUGUCCCCCCUCCAGGAACUCUGGGACAACAGGGAAUACAUCUCCAAGAUAAGCCUGGACCAUUUCCUUAACCACCCCAGCAUCAAGUUCACUAUGUCUGCACUCAUCUUGAUCAACACCAUGAAGCCCAUGGAGACGGUGACCCCCACCACCCUUUCCCUCACCUUCCCCUUUUCCCCAUCAAUUUUGGGGCUGUGAAACCCCACAGCUCCAUUUGCAGUAGUGUUGUCCCAAUGAGCAUCAUGUUCCUGUCUGGGCAGGGAGGCUGUGCAUAUCAGCUGCUGGAGAACCCACCAGCUGUUCUGGCUUGUGCUCACGGGGACCCGGUUGGUACCCUGGGGUGGUGGCCACGUGUCCCUCAGUCCUAUCCUGUGCUCCGCUGGCACAGAGGUUUCUGGUUGUACUGGAAGGUGAGGCUGUGACGAGCCAGGCAGGAGGGAGGCCUCCAGCAUCUCUCCAUCCCUAUAUCCCUCCAUCCUUCCACGUGUGCACCCCCUGUCCCUGCCCCUCUCUGACUGCCUCCUCGUGUCUCUGCAUUUACAAGUCCCUGAGUCCCUCAGUGCCCCCAUCCCUCUAUGUGUCCCUCCAUCCCUGUGUCCCUUUAUCCUUCCAUCCCUGUGUCACCACAUGCCCUGUGGUGUCCUUCCAUCUCUCCUUCCUUCCAUCCCUCUAUUAUUGUGUCUCUGUGUCCCUACAUCCCCACAUCCCUGCAUCCCUCUGUCCUUCCAUCCUUGUGUCCCUGCAUACCUAUGUCCCUCUGUCCUUCCAUCCCCAUGUCCUGUAUCUUUGUAUCCCUCUGUCCUUCCAUCCUCUGUCCUUCCAUCCCUCUGUCAUUGUGUCCCUGCAUCCCUGUGCCCCUCCAUCCCUCUGUCCGUCCAUCUCCAUGUCCCUCUGUACCUCCCUUCUCCUGUCCCUCCAUCCAUGCAUCCUUCUGUCCCUCCGUCCCUCCAUCCUUCCUUCGCUGUCUCCCUCCAUCCUUCCAUCCUUCCGUCCCUCCGUCCUUCCAUCUCUGUGUCCCUCUAUCCCUCCAUCCUUCUGUCCCUCUGUCCGUCCAUCCCUUCCCUCUCUCCCCCCCUCCGUUCCGGAGCAGUUCUCAGCCCUCUGCUGCCGUCUCCAGGGCAGAGGGGGAAAAGCCGCUCUCAGACACGGUUCAGAUUUGGGAUGGUGCUGCGUGCGGAGCCAGGAGCUGCCCUGAGUGAUCCCUGUGGAUCCCACUCGGGAUAUUCCGUGGUUCUUCGGUGACCCUCACCUGGGGUGGCACUCAGUCCCCUCCUCACCCCACAGCACCGCCGGAACACCUUCCACUUCUUCCUGACGGCCUUCCUCGGGCUGAUCCUUCUCUGCAUCAUCUUUAUGGCAGGGAUGGGACCGACCUUUAUCACUUUGCUGUUGGCCAUGAUGAUGCGUUCCCUAAAUGAACAACUGAAGGUGAGAUGGAGCAGGAGCCCGACCCGCCUCUGAGCUGGGAUGUAAGGGCUGCAAGGGGGUCCCCUGUGGGGUACAGAGGUGGGGGCGCAGCCCUCCCCACACCCCCCAUGCCCACCCCAAGGGCUGACACCCUCCCCAAACGGCCCCGAUUUGGCUGAUGUUGGCAGCAGUUGCCAUCUCCCCAUGGGAUGGAGCUCUGGGUGAGCUGAGCUGCCAAGUCGUGCCGUGCUGCUGGCAGAGGGACGAGGUGUCCCGCCGUGCUGGCAGCUGGGUGGCUUUGUGUGCUGCCCCAAAGUCGCUGCUAUGGACAAAUGUCUGCUCCAGGUUGGAGGAUCGGGGCAAAAUGUUGGGUGUCCCCCUAAGCGGGGUCCCCUGUCUGUACCAGGGGCUGUGGUGCUGGUAGGUGCUCCUGUCCGUGUGUUGGGCUUUCUUGUUUGCAACAAAGAGCUGCAGUGGAUGUGGAUGAUACCAGCCAGAAGCUGGGCUUCCCCAGCACGGAAGUGGGGUGCAGUGAUGAGAAGGGCGAUGGUGAUGGGGAGGAGGAGGAGGAGAAGAGAAGGAGGAAGAGGAGGAGAAAGAAAAGGAGGAAGAAGAGAAGGAGGAGGAAGAAGAGGAUGAGGAGAACGUAUUCCGUGGCAGGCAUCUAGUCGUUGGGUGGCCUCGGGAUUAAAGCGUGGGUCAACCUCGGGUUAAACUACCGAGAUUUGGGCUCUUGGGGUCAGAUCCGAUGCUGAGUGCCCCUCAGGCUCCUGCCCAGCACAGAGCAUCAGCUCCCCCCUAUCCCUGCGC